rnacentral:rRNA from 2 species
AAGUCUGACGGAGCAACGCCGCGUGAGUGAUGAAGGCUUUCGGGUCGUAAAACUCUGUUGUUAGGGAAGAACAAGUACAAGAGUAACUGCUUGUACCUUGACGGUACCUAACCAGAAAGCCACGGCUAACUACGUGCCAGCAGCCGCGGUAAUACGUAGGUGGCAAGCGUUAUCCGGAAUUAUUGGGCGUAAAGCGCGCGCAGGCGGUUUCUUAAGUCUGAUGUGAAAGCCCACGGCUCAACCGUGGAGGGUCAUUGGAAACUGGGGAACUUGAGUGCAGAAGAGAAAAGCGGAAUUCCACGUGUAGCGGUGAAAUGCGUAGAGAUGUGGAGGAACACCAGUGGCGAAGGCGGCUUUUUGGUCUGUAACUGACGCUGAGGCGCGAAAGCGUGGGGAGCAAACAGGAUUAGAUACCCUGGUAGUCCACGCCGUAAACGAUGAGUGCUAAGUGUUAGAGGGUUUCCGCCCUUUAGUGCUGCAGCUAACGCAUUAAGCACUCCGCCUGG